GGGGUCGUAGUGUAGCGGUUAUCACGUCUCCCUGUCACGGAGAAGAUCGCCGGUUCGAAUCCGGUCGACCCCGCCA
rnacentral:tRNA from 2 species